rnacentral:rRNA from 1 species
UACGUAGGGACCAAGCGUUGUUCGGAUUUACUGGGCGUAAAGGGCGCGUAGGCGGCGUGUUAAGUCACUUGUGAAUCUCUAAGCUUAACUUAGAACGGUCAAGUGAUACUGAUGUGCUAGAGUGCAGAGGGGCAACCGGAAUUCUUGGUGUAGCGGUGAAAUGCGUAGAUAUCAAGAGGAACACCUGAGGUGAAGACGGGUUGCUGGGCUGACACUGACCGCUGGAGGCGCGAAAGACUAGGGUAGCAAACGGG